rnacentral:rRNA from 1 species
AUGGCGAACGCGGAGGAUGCGCCCACGGCCGUGGCGGGUUCUUGCAGGUGGCCGUCCGCGCUGCGCUGGAUCCCCACCUCCGCCGACCGCAUCGUCGCCGCCGAGAAGCGCCUCCUCUCCCUAGUCAAAACUGGGUAUGUCCAAGAGAAAGUUAACAUUGGCUUUGCUCCAACCGGGUCAAAAGCAAGAUGGUUUAGAUCAAGUGAAGAGCCAAGGUUCAUCAACACGGUGACAUUUGGUAGCAACAAGGAGAACGCUCCCACCCUUGUCAUGGUCCAUGGUUAUGGUGCUUCACAUGGGCUCUUCUUUCGAAACUACGAUGCCCUCGCAAGCCAUUUCCGGGUCAUUGCCAUUGAUCAGCUUGGUUGGGGUGGAUCAAGCAGACCUGACUUCAUCUGUAAAAGUACCGAAGAAACGGAUGCUUGGUUCCUAGAUUCUUUUGAAGAAUGGCGCAAAGCAAAGAACCUCAACAAUUUUAUAUUGCUUGGACAUUCUUUGGGAGGAUAUGUUGCUGCUAAGUAUGCCUUACAGCACCCUGAGCACGUGCAACACUUGAUUUUGGUUGGUCCCGCUGGCUUUUCACCAGAAGCAGAUGAUAGCGCUGAGCGAUUAGCCAAGUUUAGAGGAACAUGGAAAGGCAUGCUAGUGAACCAUCUUUGGGAGUCCAAUUUUACUCCUUCGAAAAUUUUGAGAGGAUUGGGUCCUUGGGGCCCAUAUUUUGUUCGAAGAUAUACCACAACUAGGUUUGGAUCAUAUUCAAAUGGUGAAUUACUAACAAAACAUGAAUCUAUCUUGCUGACAGAUUAUAUUUACCACACUUUAGUUGCCAAAGCCAGUGGAGAGUUGUGCUUAAAUUAUACUUUUUCUUUGGGGGCAUUUGCAAGAAAACCUCUUCUGCAAAGCGCAUCUGAUUGGAAAGUGCCGACUACUUUCAUAUAUGGCCAGGAUGAUUGGAUGAAUUACCAAGGGGCGCAACAAGCACGCAAGGAUAUGCCAGUUCCUUGUGAAAUCAUCAGAGUCCCACAUGGAGGUCAUCUCGAGUUCAUAGAAAACCCAUCGGGGUUCAACUCGGCGGUCUUGUACGCAUGCCGAAAUUUCUUACCUGAAGAUGUAGGGGACGACUUCUCUCAUCCUUAUGGCUUGAUAUAUGCAUAG